rnacentral:RNase_P_RNA from 1 species
ACUACAAACCGGGCUAUCGCCUCCCGAUUUAUCGGGAAGAGGAAAGUCCGGACAGCAUAGGGCAAUGUACCGGUGAAUAGCCGGGUCCUUUUCCGCAGGGGAGAGGAACAGACAGUGCCACAGAAAAUUACAGCUUUCAUCCCGGCCAUUGCGGUUGGGGUUUGUCUUCCCGGCUCAGCCGGGAGGAGAGUGAUGGUGAAAACGUGGGGUAAGAGCCCACGGCUUUGCCGGGUGACCGGCGGGGCGGGUAAACCUUGCAUGCUGAAAUGCCAUGUAUACCAGCGUUGAAGAGCGGCUCGUUCGAUCCUUCCCGAUUUAUCGGGAAGAACGUUGGGUGGGUAGGCAGAACGAUCCAGUCAGUAAUGGCUGGGCAAGAUAAAUGAUAGCCUCCCGGUAAUUAUCGGGAUACAGAAUCCGGCUUACAGGUUUGUAGUUAAU